rnacentral:rRNA from 1 species
UGGGGAAUAUUGCACAAUGCGCGCAAGCCUGAUGCAGCCAUGCCGCGUGUAUGAAGAAGGCCUUCGGGUUGUAAAGUACUUUCAGUCGGGAGGAAGGUGGUAAGGUUAAUAACCUUAUCAAUUGACGUUACCGACAGAAGAAGCACCGGCUAACUCCGUGCCAGCAGCCGCGGUAAUACGGAGGGUGCAAGCGUUAAUCGGAAUUACUGGGCGUAAAGCGCACGCAGGCGGUCUGUCAAGUCGGAUGUGAAAUCCCCGGGCUCAACCUGGGAACUGCAUUCGAAACUGGCAGGCUAGAGUCUUGUAGAGGGGGGUAGAAUUCCAGGUGUAGCGGUGAAAUGCGUAGAGAUCUGGAGGAAUACCGGUGGCGAAGGCGGCCCCCUGGACAAAGACUGACGCUCAGGUGCGAAAGCGUGGGGAGCAAACAGG